rnacentral:rRNA from 1 species
GAUGAACGCUGGCGGCGUGCCUAAUACAUGCAAGUAGAACGCUAAAGGCGGAGCUUGCUCUUCUGGAUGAGUUGCGAACGGGUGAGUAACGCGUAGGUAACCUGCCUGGUAGCGGGGGAUAACUUUUGGAAACGAUAGCUAAUACCGCAUAACAACAGUUAUUGCAUGAUAACUGUUUAAAAGUGGCAACUGCUCCACUACCAGAUGGACCUGCGUUGUAUUAGCUAGUUGGUGAGGUAACGGCUCACCAAGGCGACGAUGCAUAGCCGAACUGAGAGGGGGGUCGGCCAGACUGAGACGGAGACAGGGCCCAGAGUGCGACGGGAGGGAGCAGGAGGGAAUCGUCGGCAAGGGACGGAAGUCUGAGCGAGAAACGCCGCGGGAGGAAAGAAGGAUGUCGGAUCGGAAAGCUCGGUUGUAAGAUAAGAACGAGGUUGAGAGUGUAAAGUUCACACUGUGACGGUAUCUGACCAGAAAGGGACGGCUAACUACGUG